UUAUUUUUUUGCCAACAACAACAUUACAAGUUCAAGAUAUAAACCAAAGAGUUUCAAUAAAUAACUUGAAGAUUACAAGUUCGAGAAAUACGAGCAAGCGAGAAACGAAAUUAAUAAAACAUUAAGCAAACAAAUCGCAUUAUAAAAAUUGGAGAAGUUGACCAUCCUUCAAGAGAUUGCAUUAGGUUUUUCAAACACCCAACCAAUCACUGAUACAAAGUAUAAAACAAUAAAUAUCCAAC
rnacentral:lncRNA from 1 species